UGGGCGAACGGGUGAGUAACACGUGGGCAAUCUGCCCUUCACUCUGGGACAAGCCCUGGAAACGGGGUCUAAUACCGGAUAAUACUUUCCCUCUCAUGGGGGAAGGUUAAAAGCUCCGGCGGUGAAGGAUGAGCCCGCGGCCUAUCAGCUAGUUGGUGGGGUAAUGGCCUACCAAGGCGACGACGGGUAGCCGGCCUGAGAGGGCGACCGGCCACACUGGGACUGAGACACGGCCCAGACUCCUACGGGAGGCAGCAGUGGGGAAUAUUGCACAAUGGGCGAAAGCCUGAUGCAGCGACGCCGCGUGAGGGAUGACGGCCUUCGGGUUGUAAACCUCUUUCAGCAGGGAAGAAGCGAAAGUGACGGUACCUGCAGAAGAAGCGCCGGCUAACUACGUGCCAGCAGCCGCGGUAAUACGUAGGGCGCAAGCGUUGUCCGGAAUUAUUGGGCGUAAAGAGCUCGUAGGCGGCUUGUUGCGUCGGUUGUGAAAGCCCGGGGCUUAACCCCGGGUCUGCAGUCGAUACGGGCAGGCUAGAGUGUGGUAGGGGAGAUCGGAAUUCCUGGUGUAGCGGUGAAAUGCGCAGAUAUCAGGAGGAACACCGGUGGCGAAAGCGGAUCUCUGGGCCAUUACUGACGCUGAGGAGCGAAAGCGUGGGGAGCGAACAGGAUUAGAUACCCUGGUAGUCCACGCCGUAACGUUUGGGAACUAGUGUUGGCGACAUUCCACGUCGUCGUGCCGCAGCUAACGCAUUAAGUUCCCCGCCUGGGGAGUACGGCCGCAA
rnacentral:rRNA from 1 species